UCAAUUAAUAAAUCGAUGGUACAUUAUGUUGAUAUUAAUUAUUGGUAAUUUUUUACGAAUAUUUUUAACAAUUACUUUAUACUAUUCUACAAUUAACUUAUUAAAAAAAUAACAUUGGCUUUUAUAUUUUUAAAAAUCUAUAGGUACCUACACAGUUUUUCUUAUUUGUUAUAUAUUUCUUUGCAUAGAUUUACUUUAGAGAUGUAAUAAUAUCUAAUAAA